UGAACGCUGGCGGCGUGCCUAAUACAUGCAAGUCGAGCGAACAGACGAGGAGCUUGCUCCUCUGACGUUAGCGGCGGACGGGUGAGUAACACGUGGAUAACCUACCUAUAAGACUGGGAUAACUUCGGGAAACCGGAGCUAAUACCGGAUAAUAUAUUGAACCGCAUGGUUCAAUAGUGAAAGACGGUUUUGCUGUCACUUAUAGAUGGAUCCGCGCCGCAUUAGCUAGUUGGUAAGGUAACGGCUUACCAAGGCAACGAUGCGUAGCCGACCUGAGAGGGUGAUCGGCCACACUGGAACUGAGACACGGUCCAGACUCCUACGGGAGGCAGCAGUAGGGAAUCUUCCGCAAUGGGCGAAAGCCUGACGGAGCAACGCCGCGUGAGUGAUGAAGGUCUUCGGAUCGUAAAACUCUGUUAUUAGGGAAGAACAAAUGUGUAAGUAACUAUGCACGUCUUGACGGUACCUAAUCAGAAAGCCACGGCUAAGUACGUG
rnacentral:rRNA from 1 species